GGGCCUUUAGCUCAGUUGGUCAGAGUUGCGGACUCAUAAUCCGUCGGUCCUUGGUUCAAGUCCAAGAAGGCCCA
rnacentral:tRNA from 1 species